UCGCGAAACCUUUGCAAUACACGAAAGUGUGACAGGGUCAUCCCGAGUGCCGACCGCUGAGGUUGGCUUUUACCCAGUCUAGAAAGCUGGGAGAAUAAGGAGAGGGCAAGUCUGGUGUCAGCCGCCGCGGUAAUACCAGCUCUCCGAGUGGUGUGGACGUUUAUUGGGCCUAAAGCAUCCGUAGCUGGCUGAUCAAGUCCCCCGUUAAACCCACCGAUUUAAUCGUUGGCUUGCGGGGGAUACUGUUCGGCUAGGGGACGAGAGAGGCAGACGGUAUUCCCGGGGUAGGGGUGAAAUCCUAUAAUCCCGAGAAGACCACCAGUGGCGAAGGCUGUCUGCUAGAACGCGCCCGACGGUGAGGGAUGAAAGCUAGGGGCACGAACCGGAUUAGAUACCCGGGUAGUCCUAGCCGUAAACGAUACUCGCUAGGUGUCGGCCACGGUGCGACCGUUGUCGGUGCCGUAGGGAAGCCGUGAAGCGAGCCACCUGGGAAGUACGGCCGCAAGGCUGAACUUAAAGGAAUUGGCGGGGGAGCACCACAACGGGUGGA
rnacentral:rRNA from 1 species